rnacentral:rRNA from 1 species
CCUACGGGAGGCAGCAGUGGGGGAUAUUGCACAAUGGGGGGAACCCUGAUGCAGCGACGCCGCGUGGGUGAAGAAGCGCCUCGGCGCGUAAAGCCCUGUCAGCAGGGAAGAAAAUGACGGUACCUGACGAAGAAGCCCCGGCUAACUACGUGCCAGCAGCCGCGGUAAUACGUAGGGGGCAAGCUUUAUCCGGAUUUACUGGGUGUAAAGGGGGCGCAGACGGCGAUGCAAGCCAGGAGUUAAAGCCCGGGGCCCAACCCCGGGACUGCUCUUGGAACUGCGUGGCUGGAGUGCAGGAGGGGUAGGCGGAAUUCCUGGUGUAGCGGUGAAAUGCGUAGAUAUCAGGAGGAACACCGGUGGCGAAGGCGGCCUGCUGGACUGCAACUGACGUUGAGGCCCGAAAGCGUGGGGAGCAAACAGGAGUAGAUACCCUGGUAGUC